rnacentral:rRNA from 1 species
ACGUGGGGUUAUUUGAAGCAACACGAAAAAACUUUCCAGGUCCUGUCAUACUCUGAGAAAACUAGAGAUAGAAGGGUUUCCUUCGGGGCAGAGAGUGACAGGUGGUGCAUGGUUGUCGUCAGCUCGUGUCGUGAGAUGUGGGGUUAAGUCCCGCAACGAGCGCACCCCUUGAUUUUAGUUCCCAGCAUUCAGUUGGGCACUCUAAGGUGACUGCCGGUGACAAACCGGAGGAAGGUGGGGAUGACGUCAAAUCAUCAUGCCCCUUAUGACCUGGGCUACACACGUGCUACAAUGGACGGUACAAAGGGCAGCGAAGCCGCGAGGUUGAGCCAAUCCCACAAAUCCGUUCUCAGUUCGGCAUCGCAGUCCUGCAACU